rnacentral:rRNA from 1 species
CCUACGGGGUGCUGCAGUGGGGAAUAUUGGACAAUGGGCGAAAGCCUGAUCCAGCCAUGCCGCGUGUGUGAAGAAGGCCUUCGGGUUGUAAAGCACUUUCAGUGGGGAAGAAAGCCUUGGGGCUAAUACCCUCGAGGAAGGACAUCACCCACAGAAGAAGCACCGGCUAACUCCGUGCCAGCAGCCGCGGUAAUACGGAGGGUGCGAGCGUUAAUCGGAAUUACUGGGCGUAAAGCGCGCGUAGGCGGUCUGAUAAGCCGGUUGUGAAAGCCCCGGGCUCAACCUGGGAACGGCAUCCGGAACUGUCAGGCUAGAGUGCAGGAGAGGAAGGUAGAAUUCCUGGUGUAGCGGUGAAAUGCGUAGAGAUCGGGAGGAAUACCAGUGGCGAAGGCGGCCUUCUGGACUGACACUGACGCUGAGGUGCGAAAGCGUGGGUAGCAAACAGGAUUAGAUACCCCAGUAGUC